rnacentral:rRNA from 1 species
AACGAACGCUGGCGGCAUGCCUAACACAUGCAAGUCGAACGAGACCUUCGGGUCUAGUGGCGCACGGGUGCGUAACGCGUGGGAACCUGCCCUUAGGUUCGGAAUAACUCCCCGAAAGGGGUGCUAAUACCGGAGAAUGUCUUCGGACCAAAGAUUUAUCGCCUUUGGAUGGGCCCGCGUUGGAUUAGCUAGUUGGUAGGGUAAAAGCCUACCAAGGCGACGAUCCAUAGCUGGUCUGAGAGGAUGAUCAGCCACACUGGGACUGAGACACGGCCCAGACUCCUACGGGAGGCAGCAGUGGGGAAUAUUGGACAAUGGGCGAAAGCCUGAUCCAGCAAUGCCGCGUGAGUGAUGAAGGCCUUAGGGUUGUAAAGCUCUUUUACCCGGGAUGAUAAUGACAGUACCGGGAGAAUAGGCUCCGGCAAACUCCGU